GACGAACGCUGGCGGCGUGCUUAACACAUGCAAGUCGAACGGAAAGGCCCUGCUUUUGUGGGGUGCUCGAGUGGCGAACGGGUGAGUAACACGUGAGUAUCCUGCCCUUGACUUUGGGAUAACUUCAGGAAACUGGGGCUAAUACCGGAUAGGAUCUCCUGCUGCAUGGUGUGGGUUGGAAAGUUUCGGCGGUUGGGGAUGGACUCGCGGCUUAUCAGCUUGUUGGGGGGGUAGUGGCUUACCAAGGCUUUGACGGGUAGCCGGCCUGAGAGGGUGACCGGCCACAUUGGGACUGAGAUACGGCCCAGACUCCUACGGGAGGCAGCAGUGGGGAAUAUUGCACAAUGGGCGGAAGCCUGAUGCAGCAACGCCGCGUGCGGGAUGACGGCCUUCGGGUUGUAAACCGCUUUCGCCUGUGACGAAGCGUGAGUGACGGUAAUGGGUAAAGAAGCACCGGCUAACUACGUG
rnacentral:rRNA from 1 species